rnacentral:rRNA from 1 species
UACGUAGGGUGCGAGCGUUGUCCGGAAUUAUUGGGCGUAAAGAGCUUGUAGGCGGUCUGUCGCGUCUGCUGUGAAAAUCCGGGGCUCAACCCCGGACUUGCAGUGGGUACGGGCAGACUAGAGUGUGGUAGGGGAGACUGGAAUUCCUGGUGUAGCGGUGAAAUGCGCAGAUAUCAGGAGGAACACCGAUGGCGAAGGCAGGUCUCUGGGCCGAUACUGACGCUGAGGAGCGAAAGCGUGGGGAGCG